rnacentral:rRNA from 1 species
CCUACGGGGGGCAGCAGUGAGGAAUAUUGGUCAAUGGACGAGAGUCUGAACCAGCCAAGUAGCGUGAAGGAUGACUGCCCUAUGGGUUGUAAACUUCUUUUAUCAAGGAAUAAAACGAGGCACGUGUGCCUUUUUGCAGGUACUUGAUGAAUAAGGAUCGGCUAACUCCGUGCCAGCAGCCGCGGUAAUACGGAGGAUUCGAGCGUUAUCCGGAUUUAUUGGGUUUAAAGGGAGCGGAGAUGGGUUGUUAAGUCAGUUGUGAAAGUUUGCGGCUCAACCGUAAAAUUGCAAUUGAUACUGGCAGUCUUGAGUACAGUUGAGGUAGGCGGAAUUCGUGGUGUAGCGGUGAAAUGCUUAGAUAUCACGAAGAACCCCGAUUGCGAAGGCAGCAUACUAAACUGUGACUGACAUUGAUGCUCGAAAGUGUGGGUAUCAAACAGGAUUAGAUACCCUAGUAGUC